CCUACGGGUGGCAGCAGUGAGGAAUAUUGGUCAAUGGUCGGAAGGCUGAACCAGCCAAGCCGCGUGAAGGACGAAGGUGCCAAGUAUUGUACACUUCUUUUGUCAAGGGACAAAAUCAGGCACGUGUCCCCUCCCGAGGGUACCUUCAGAAACAGCAUCGGCUAACUCCGUGCCAGCAGCCGCGGUAAUACGGAGGAUGCGAGCGUUAUCCGGAUUUAUUGGGUUUAAGGGGUGCGUAGGGGGGCUGUUAAGUCCGCGGUCAAAGCCCGGGGCUCAACCCCGGCGAGCCGUUGAAACUGGCUGUCUUGAGAUGGAGAGAAGUAGGCGGAAUGCGCGGUGUAGCGGUGAAAUGCAUAGAUAUCGCGCAGAACUCCGAUUGCGAAGGCAGCAUGCCGGCUCCACACUGACGCUGAGGCACGAAAGCGUGGGUAUCGAACAGGAUUAGAUACCCUGGUAGUC
rnacentral:rRNA from 1 species